rnacentral:rRNA from 1 species
AUGCCUACACAAAUAAAUGAGCUAAGCAAUCUAGAAUACCUUGAUAUAUCUGGGAACAGAUUGAGUGCAUCAAUUCCAGAGGAACUAGGGGCCUGCAAGAAACUACAGUCCUUGAAGAUCAACAAUAAUAACUUCAGUGGCAGUUUGCCAGAUGCGAUUGGAAAUUUAGCAGGCCUGCAGAUCAUGUUAGAUGUGAGCAACAAUAACCUCAGUGGUGUGCUGCCGCAUCAACUUGGGAAGUUGGAGAUGCUAGAAUUUCUGAAUUUAUCACAUAAUCAGUUCAGUGGCAGCAUUCCGUCCGUCUUUGCAAGCAUGGUUAGCCUUUCAACACUUGAUGUGUCCUACAACAACUUGGAAGGACCAGUCCCAACAGCCCAGCUACUCCAAAAUGCUUCAGCAAGUUGGUUUCUUCCCAAUAAAGGUCUGUGUGGUAACCUCUCUGGCCUGCCACCAUGUUAUUCAACCCCAGCAACUGCCCAUAAAAGGGGAAAGAUACUUGGUUUGCUUUUCCCAAUUGUUCUUGUGAUGGGUUUCAGCAUUGUUGCUACAACUGUUGUCAUAAUAAUACUUACUCGUAAGAAGAGAAAACCACAAGAAAGUGCUAGCGCUGAAGCAAGGGAGAUGUUCUCUGUUUGGAAUUUUGAUGGUAGAUUAGCAUUUGACGAUAUUGUAAGGGCAACAGAAGACUUUGAUGAUAAGUACAUCAUUGGAACAGGAGGAUACGGCAAAGUCUACAUGGCACAACUCCAAGACGGGCAGAUGGUUGCUGUGAAGAAGCUUCAUCAGACCGAAGAAGAGUUGGAUGAUGAAAGAAGAUUUCAUAGUGAAAUGGAAAUCUUAACACAGAUCCGACAACGAAGCAUUGUCAAAAUGUAUGGAUUCUGCUCCCAUCCAACGUAUAAAUUUCUCGUCUACGACUACAUUCAGCAGGGAAGCCUCCACAGGACAUUGGAGAAUGAGGAGCUAGCAAAGGAAUUGGAUUGGCACAAGAGAAUUGCUCUUGCAACUGAUGUGGCUCAAGCAAUAUCUUAUUUGCACCACGAAUGCAGUCCACCUAUAAUCCAUCGAGAUAUCACAAGCAACAACAUCUUACUUGAUACAUCCUUCAAGGGUUUUGUCUCGGAUUUCGGCACGGCAAGGAUUCUUAAACCUGAUUCAUCAAACUGGAGUGCACUAGCAGGAACGUACGGCUACAUAGCUCCUGAACUGUCGUACACAUCUGUUGCGACAGAGAAAUGUGAUGUUUAUAGCUUUGGAGUGGUUGUGUUAGAGCUAGUGAUGGGCAAGCAUCCAAGGGAUUUAUUAGAUGGUAGUCUUUCUAACGGCGAACAAUCAAUGAUGGUGAAAGAUAUUCUGGACCAACGGCCAACAACACCAAAAUCAACUGAAGAGAAUAGCUUAGCUCUGCACAUCAAGCUGGCCUUAUCUUGUUUGGAAUCUUCUCCCCAAGCAAGGCCAACCAUGCGGGAGGCAUACCAAACACUCAUCCAGCCAUCUUCUAGUUCAACUACCGUGCCUUUCAGUGCACUUACAUUACAGCAAGGGAUGCAUGUUUGA